rnacentral:rRNA from 1 species
UAAGGAAUAUUGGUCAAUGGACGCAAGUCUGAACCAGCCAUGCCGCGUGAAGGAUGAAGGUCCUCUGGAUUGUAAACUUCUUUUAUCUGGGACGAAAACGGGAUUUUUAUCUCAAUUGACGGUACCAGAGGAAUAAGCACCGGCUAACUCCGUGCCAGCAGCCGCGGUAAUACGGAGGGUGCGAGCGUUAUCCGGAUUUACUGGGUUUAAAGGGUGCGUAGGUGGGCUUAUAAGUCAGUGGUGAAAUCUCCGAGCUUAACUUGGAAACUGCCGUUGAUACUAUAGGUCGUGAAUUAUCUGGAGGUUAGCGGAAUAUGUCAUGUAGCGGUGAAAUGCUUAGAUAUGACAUAGAACACCAAUUGCGAAGGCAGCUUACUACAUAUAAAUUGACGCUGAGGCACGAAAGCGUGGGGAUC